UGGGUGGUGUUGGAAGAGACUAGUGGACAACUGUCUACAGUGUUGACUAAGGAGGGAGAGUAGUGUAGUAGUGGCAGUGUUGACUAAGGAGGGAGAGUAGUGUAGUAGUGGUAGUGUUGACUAAGGAGGGGGAGUAGUGUAGUAGUGGUAGUGUUGACUAAGGAGGGAGAGUAGUGUAGUCGUGGUAGUGUUGACUAAGGAGGGAGAGUAGUGUAGUAGUGGUAGUGUUGACUAAGGGAGAGUAGUGUAGUAGUGGUAGUGUUGACUAAGGGGGGAGAGUCGUGUAGUAGUCGUAGUGUUGACUAAGGGGGGGGAGUGUGUGAUAGUGGUAGUGUUGACUAGAAGGGGCGCAGUG
rnacentral:lncRNA from 1 species